UUUAUGGAGAGUUUGAUCCUGGCUCAGGAUGAACGCUGGCGGCCUGCCUAAUACAUGCAAGUCGAGCGAACGGACGAGAAGCUUGCUUCUCUGAUGUUAGCGGCGGACGGGUGAGUAACACGUGGAUAACCUACCUAUAAGACUGGGAUAACUUCGGGAAACCGGAGCUAAUACCGGAUAAUAUUUUGAACCGCAUGGUUCAAAAGUGAAAGACGGUCUUGCUGUCACUUAUAGAUGGAUCCGCGCUGCAUUAGCUAGUUGGUAAGGUAACGGCUUACCAAGGCAACGAUGCAUAGCCGACCUGAGAGGGUGAUCGGCCACACUGGAACUGAGACACGGUCCAGACUCCUACGGGAGGCAGCAGUAGGGAAUCUUCCGCAAUGGGCGAAAGCCUGACGGAGCAACGCCGCGUGAGUGAUGAAGGUCUUCGGAUCGUAAAACUCUGUUAUUAGGGAAGAACAUAUGUGUAAGUAACUGUGCACAUCUUGACGGUACCUAAUCAGAAAGCCACGGCUAACUACGUGCCAGCAGCCGCGGUAAUACGUAGGUGGCAAGCGUUAUCCGGAAUUAUUGGGCGUAAAGCGCGCGUAGGCGGUUUUUUAAGUCUGAUGUGAAAGCCCACGGCUCAACCGUGGAGGGUCAUUGGAAACUGGAAAACUUGAGUGCAGAAGAGGAAAGUGGAAUUCCAUGUGUAGCGGUGAAAUGCGCAGAGAUAUGGAGGAACACCAGUGGCGAAGGCGACUUUCUGGUCUGUAACUGACGCUGAUGUGCGAAAGCGUGGGGAUCAAACAGGAUUAGAUACCCUGGUAGUCCACGCCGUAAACGAUGAGUGCUAAGUGUUAGGGGGUUUCCGCCCCUUAGUGCUGCAGCUAACGCAUUAAGCACUCCGCCUGGGGAGUACGACCGCAAGGUUGAAACUCAAAGGAAUUGACGGGGACCCGCACAAGCGGUGGAGCAUGUGGUUUAAUUCGAAGCAACGCGAAGAACCUUACCAAAUCUUGACAUCCUU
rnacentral:rRNA from 1 species